rnacentral:rRNA from 1 species
UACGUAGGGGGCAAGCGUUGUCCGGAUUUAUUGGGCGUAAAGCGCACGUAGGCGGAUCUUUAAGUCAGGGGUGAAAUCCUGGAGCUCAACUCCAGAACUGCCUUUGAUACUGGGGAUCUCGAGUCCGGAAGAGGUGAGUGGAACUCCGAGUGUAGAGGUGAAAUUCGUAGAUAUUCGGAAGAACACCAGUGGCGAAGGCGGCUCACUGGUCCGGUACUGACGCUGAGGUGCGAAAGCGUGGGGAGCAAACAGG